rnacentral:rRNA from 1 species
UACGUAGGGUCCGAGCGUUGUCCGGAAUUAUUGGGCGUAAAGAGCUCGUAGGCGGUUUGUCGCGUCUGCUGUGAAAUCCCGAGGCUCAACCUCGGGCCUGCAGUGGGUACGGGCAGACUGGAGUGCGGUAGGGGAGAAUGGAAUUCCUGGUGUAGCGGUGGAAUGCGCAGAUAUCAGGAGGAACACCGAUGGCGAAGGCAGUUCUCUGGGCCGUAACUGACGCUGAGGAGCGAAAGCGUGGGGGAGCGAACAGG